rnacentral:rRNA from 1 species
CCUACGGGAGGCAGCAGUGAGGAAUAUUGGUCAAUGGACGAGAGUCUGAACCAGCCAAGUAGCGUGAAGGAUGACUGCCCUAUGGGUUGUAAACUUCUUUUAUAUGGGAAUAAAAUGUUCCACGUGUGGGAUUUUGUAUGUACCAUAUGAAUAAGGAUCGGCUAACUCCGUGCCAGCAGCCGCGGUAAUACGGAGGAUCCGAGCGUUAUCCGGAUUUAUUGGGUUUAAAGGGAGCGUAGGUGGAUUGUUAAGUCAGUUGUGAAAGUUUGCGGCUCAACCGUACAAUUGCAGUUGACACUGGCAGUCUUGAGUACAGUAGAGGUGGGCGGAAUGCGUGGUGUAGCGGUGAAAUGCUUAGAUAUCACGAAGAACUCCGAUUGCGAAGGCAGUUCACUGGACUGCAACUGACACUGAGGCUCGAAAGUGUGGGUAUCAAACAGGAUUAGAUACCCCAGUAGUC